rnacentral:rRNA from 1 species
UUAUAAGAGACAGCAGUAGCCGCGGGAAUACAGAGGGUGCGAGCGUUAAUCGGAUUUACUGGGCGUAAAGCGUGCGUAGGCGGCUUCUUAAGUCGGAUGUGAAAUCCCUGAGCUUAACUUAGGAAUUGCAUUCGAUACUGGGAAGCUAGAGUAUGGGAGAGGAUGGUAGAAUUCCAGGUGUAGCGGUGAAAUGCGUAGAGAUCUGGAGGAAUACCGAUGGCGAAGGCAGCCAUCUGGCCUAAUACUGACGCUGAGGUACGAAAGCAUGGGGAGCAAACAGGAUUAGAUACCCCGGUAGUCCCUGUCUCUUAUAC